GAUGAAGAACGUAGUGAAAUGCGAUACUUGGUGUGAAUUGCAGAAUCCCGUGAACCAUCGAGUCUUUGAACGCAAGUUGCGCCCGAAGCCAUUAGGCCGAGGGCACGCCUGCCUGGGUGUCACACGUCGUUGCCCCCCCAUCUACUCCUUCGGGAUUGCGGGGGGCGGAUGAUGGCCUCCCGUGCGCCUCGUCGCGCGGUUGGCAUAAAUGCCAAGUCCUCGGCGACGCACGCCACGACAAUCGGUGGUGGCGAAACCUCGGUUGCCCGUCGUGUGCGGUCGUCGCGCAUCGAGGGCUCGAAAAAAUUGCCGGGCUCCGGCUCGGCUUUCAACGCGACCCCAGGUCAGGCGGGGUUACCCGCUGAAUUUAAGCAUAUCAAUAAGCGGAGGA
rnacentral:misc_RNA from 1 species